GAGAGUUGAAGAAGCUUCCAGAAGGGAUCGAAUACCUCACCAAACUCCGAGUUCUCUGGUUAUGCGACAUGCCAACAGAAUUGACGGAGAGGUUGCAGCAAAAAGACGGAAACGAGGAGGACCGUAGAAAGAUGGGACACAUUCCCUUAAUCUACGGUGGACGCUGGACAGAAGAGGGGUGGGAUUUGCGUCGACUCAACUAAUCAUCCAUCGAUUCAGUUGUGAGGAGAUUAGAAGGAUGUUGAACAUUACAGGAGCAAAAUAUCCGAGGUGGUGCUGCAAUCACUGAGGAUGGGGAGCUGAAGCAUGUGUUCUCAGCCAUUGAUUCAAGUGAGAGGCUACGGAGGUUGUUGAUGUCUACUUGGUGAAUUUGAGAUCCAUUUGGUGCUCUGUGUCCUGAACAUUGGACGUGUUGUGUUUGUGAUAAGUGUGGCUGUACGUACAUAAAUGGAAUAAUGGUUACCAUCCUGAAAGGAUUUUAUGUGUGGCUAUAUGCUCAAGAUGAUUGUUAUGAUCUAGGCAUGAUUAUGUGUUAAUAAAUGUGGAUUUUUCCCUAGUA